rnacentral:rRNA from 1 species
AGCGAACGCUGGCGGCGUACUUAACACAUGCAAGUCGUACGAGGAUCGUCGGGUUAGCAAUAAUUCGGCGGUUCGAGUGGCGCACGGGUGAGUAACACGUGGGUAACCCACCCUUGAGACCGGGAUACCCUCUCGAAAGGGAGGCUAAUACUGGAUACGUUCCUCGGGACGCACGUCCUGGGGAGGAAAGGUGGCGAAAGCUGCCGCUCUUGGAGGGGCUCGCGGCCUAUCAGCUAGUUGGUGAGGUAACGGCUCACCAAGGCUAUGACGGGUAGCUGGUCUGAGAGGACGACCAGCCACACGGGAACUGAGACACGGUCCCGACUCCUACGGGAGGCAGCAGUGGGGAAUUUUCCGCAAUGGGCGAAAGCCUGACGGAGUGACGCCGCGUGGGGGAUGAAGGCCUUCGGGUUGUAAAACUCUUUUAGAUGUGACGAUGAUGACGGUAACAUCAGAAAAAGCUCCGGCUAACUUCGUGCCAGCAGCCGCGGUAAUACGAAGGGAGCGAGCGUUGUUCGGAAUCACUGGGCUUAAAGCGUGCGUAGGUGGAUUGGUAAGUAAGGAGUGAAAUCCCAGGGCUUAACCCUGGAACUGCUCUUUAGACUGCCUGUCUGGAAUUCGGAAGAGGUUGGUGGAACUCCCAGUGUAGAGGUGAAAUUCGCAGAUAUUGGGAAGAACACCGGUGGCGAAGGCGACCAACUGGUCCGACAUUGACACUGAGGCACGAAAGCGUGGGUAGCAAACAGGAUUAGAUACCCUGGUAGUCCACGCCGUAAACCAUGUUUGCUAGCUGUCGGAGUCCUUAGGGCUUCGGCGGCGGAGAGAAAUCAUUAAGCAAACCGCCUGGGGAGCACGGCCGCAAGGUUAAAACUCAAAGGAAUUGACGGGGACCCGCACAAGCGGUGGAUGAUGUGGAUUAAUUCGAUGCAACGCGAAAAACCUUACCUACCCUUGACAUGUCAGGAACCUCCGAGAGAUUGGAGGGUGCCCGAAAGGGAACCUGAACACAGGUGCUGCAUGGCUGUCGUCAGCUCGUGUCGUGAGAUGUUGGGUUAAGUCCCGCAACGAGCGCAACCCUUGUCAUUAGUUGCUACGAAAGGGCACUCUAAUGAGACUGCCGGUGACAAACCGGAGGAAGGUGGGGAUGACGUCAAGUCCUCAUGGCCCUUAUGGGUAGGGCUUCACACGUCAUACAAUGGUACAUACAGAGGGCCGCCAACCCGCGAGGGGGAGCUAAUCCCAGAAAGUGUAUCGUAGUCCGGAUCGCAGUCUGCAACUCGACUGCGUGAAGUUGGAAUCGCUAGUAAUCGCGGAUCAGCAUGUCGCGGUGAAUACGUUCCCGGGUCUUGUACACACCGCCCGUCACACCAUGGGAGCGGGUUUUACCAGAAGUAGGUAGCUUAACCGUAAGGAGGGCGCUUACCACGGUAGGAUUCGUGACUGGGGUG